GCUGUCGUAGCUCAGGGGUAGAGCACCUCAUUGGUAAUGAGGAGGUCGGUGGUUCAAUUCCACCCGGCAGCACCA
rnacentral:tRNA from 1 species